rnacentral:rRNA from 1 species
UACGUAGGUGGCAAGCGUUGUCCGGAUUUAUUGGGCGUAAAGCGCGCGCAGGCGGUCUUUUAAGUCUGAUGUGAAAUCUUGCGGCUCAACCGCAAGCGGUCAUUGGAAACUGGGGGACUUGAGUACAGAAGAGGAAAGCGGAAUUCCACGGUGUAGCGGUGAAAUGCGUAGAGAUGUGGAGGAACACCAGUGGCGAAGGCGGCUUCUGGUCGUGUAACUGACGCUGGAGGCGCGAAAGCGUGGGGAGCAAACAGG